UAAAAAGAAAACAGACAUAAAAAGUUACUUCUUGCUCACUACCUACAUCUUUCCAGAUUUUAAUGAAACGGAGAAAUACUAGCUUUUCUUUGCUACUUGAGUCAAAAAAUACCAGAAAAGUCUUUACUGUAUGCUUCAUUAUAUUUCACGGUAAAUUUCUAGAAUGCAAACUGAACAUUACUUUUAUCUGACUGAAGCGGAAGCCUCAAACUUGGGAGACCUUUGGCCCAGUGCUUAUGUAAAUACUGCAGUCUAAAUCUACCGGACAGCAGAUGUCUCAUCAGAAUGUAUGGAAGACAAAAGGAAGUGACACAACUUUUUCAAGUGCUAAAACAAAACUCUACCAACCCGGAGCUCUUUAUCCAGCAAAAAUACCCUUCAAAUAUGAAGGAGAAGUCAAGACAUUCUCAGAUGAUAGAAAACUAAGAGAAUUUGUUGCCAGCAACAAACCUACCCUAAAUGAAUGGCUAAAAGAAGUCCUCUAGACAGAAAGGAAUCAAUAAAAGAAGGAACAUAGGAACAUCAAAAAAGACGUAGAUCAUGAAAAGCAAAAAUAUGGGCCUAGGAGUAGACUGACAAGAUGAGAGUUCUCCUAAUGCAGAGCUGAGGGCCACCUCUUAUUUCAGAGAUGACUACGGAACCUUAGUUCUGAUGACAUGAAUAAUGGCUCUCUGCUUUUGAUCUGUCUCAACAAUUCUUCAGCAACCCGCCGGGAUCAGAAAGGAGGAUAUUGCCAAUUGAUUGGUCCGUCUCCCUGACCUGCCUGCUGACUAAAUUCCAGAAUGUUCCAAGAAAGUUCAGAAACCUCCAAAAUAAAUUCUGCAUUUCAUUAA